rnacentral:rRNA from 1 species
CAUAGCUUUUUGUUGAAAAUAAAAAGUAGGGUCUGCCCAGUGAUGAUUUUAACGGCCGCAAUAUUUGUGCGAAGGUAGCAUAAUCAUUUGUCUUUUAAUUGAUGACUGGAAUGAAUGGCUGGACGAGGAUAAGCUGUCUUAUAUAUAUAUAUUUGAAAUUUACUUUUAAGUAAAAAGGCUUAAAUAUUUUAGAGGGACGAGAAGACCCUAUUGAGUUUAAUAGAAUUUAUUUAAAUUUUUCUUAAAUUUUUAUGUAAUCUAUUUAGUUGGGGAGAUUUGAUAUUAUUAACUAUAUAAGAAUUAAUAGACUUUAAGUUUUUAGGAUCCAUAUUUAAUGAGUACUAAGAUAAAUUACCUUAGGGAUAACAGCGUAAUAUUUUUUUAGAGUUCAAAUCGAUUAAAAUGAUUACGACCUCGAUGUUGGAUUAAAGAACCUAAUUUGGAGAAGAUUUUAAUUUAGGUAGUCUGUUCGACUAUUAAAUCUUUACGUGA